rnacentral:rRNA from 1 species
UACGUAGGGUGCGAGCGUUGUCCGGAUUUAUUGGGCGUAAAGGGCUCGUAGGCGGCGUGUCGCGUCGGGAGUGAAAGCCCGCUGCUUAACGGCGGGUUGGCUUCCGGUACGGGCAUCGCUGGAGUGCGGCAGGGGAGACUGGAAUUCCUGGUGUAGCAGUGAAAUGCGUAGAUAUCAGGAGGAACACCGAUGGCGAAGGCAGGUCUCUGGGCUGACACUGACGCUCAUGCACGAAAGCGUGGGGAGCAAACAGG